GGACGAACCCUUGGAGAGAUCCGUCAUAAACGGACGCCGAAGGCGCAAGAGAAUAGCUUUAUUCUUGAAACGCUCAGGCAAAAGGACAGGGGCAGGAAA
rnacentral:ncRNA from 1 species